ACUCUAUACGGAGUUACAAAAGAAAGUUAUAAAUGAAGCGGUCUGGAAAGGCCCGCCAAAGACGGUAACAGCCCGGUAGUUGAAAUGGCUUUCCCUCCAGAGUGGAUCCUGAGUACGGCGGAACACGUGAAAUUCCGUCGGAAUCCGGGAGGACCAUCUCCCAAGGCUAAAUACUCCCUAGUGACCGAUAGUGAACCAGUACCGUGAGGGAAAGGUGAAAAGCACCCCGGAAGGGGAGUGAAACAGUUCCUGAAACCGUGUGCCUACAAGUAGUUAGAGCCCGUUAAUGGGUGAUAGCGUGCCUUUUGUAGAAUGAACCGGCGAGUUACGAUUUGUUGCAAGGUUAAGCGGAAAAAGCGGAGCCGUAGCGAAAGCGAGUCUGAAUAGGGCGCAUAAGUAACAGGUCGUAGACCCGAAACCAGGUGAUCUACCCAUGUCCAGGAUGAAGGUAAGGUAAUACUUACUGGAGGUCCGAACCCACGCACGUUGAAAAGUGCGGGGAUGAGGUGUGGGUAGCGGAGAAAUUCCAAUCGAACUUGGAGAUAGCUGGUUCUCUCCGAAAUAGCUUUAGGGCUAGCCUCGAGGUAAAGAGUCAUGGAGGUAGAGCACUGUUUGGACUAGGGGCCCUUCUCGGGUUACCGAAUUCAGAUAAACUCCGAAUGCCAUGUACUUAUACUCGGGAGUCAGACUGCGAGUGAUAAGAUCCGUAGUCGAAAGGGAAACAGCCCAGACCACCAGUUAAGGUCCCCAAAUAUAUGUUAAGUGGAAAAGGAUGUGGGGUUGCUUAGACAACCAGGAUGUUGGCUUAGAAGCAGCCACCAUUGAAAGAGUGCGUAAUAGCUCACUGGUCGAGUGACCCCGCGCCGAAAAUGUACCGGGGCUAAACAUAUUACCGAAACUGUGGAUGAACCUCUUUAGAGGUUCGUGGUAGGAGAGCGUUCUAAGGGCGGUGAAGUCAGACCGGAAGGACUGGUGGAGCGCUUAGAAGUGAGAAUGCCGGUAUGAGUAGCGAAAGAAGGGUGAGAAUCCCUUCCACCGAAUAUCUAAGGUUUCCUGAGGAAGGCUCGUCCGCUCAGGGUUAGUCGGGACCUAAGCCGAGGCCGAUAGGCGUAGGCGAUGGACAACAGGUAGAGAUUCCUGUACCAGUGCUAAUUGUUUAACCGAUGGGGUGACACAGAAGGAUAGGGAAUCGCACGAAUGGAAAUGUGCGUCCAAGCAGUGAGUGUGAGAAGUAGGCAAAUCCGCUUCUCGCGAAGCAUGAGCUGUGAUGGGGAAGGAAAUUAAGUACGGAAGUUCCUGAUUUCACGCUGUCAAGAAAAGCCUCUAGGAAGAGUAGUACUGCCCGUACCGCAAACCGACACAGGUAGAUGAGGAGAGAAUCCUAAGGUGAGCGAGAGAACUCUCGUUAAGGAACUCGGCAAAAUGACCCCGUAACUUCGGGAGAAGGGGUGCUCUAUUAGGGUGCAAGCCCGAGAGAGCCGCAGUGAAUAGGCCCAGGCGACUGUUUAGCAAAAACACAGGUCUCUGCAAAACCGUAAGGUGACGUAUAGGGGCUGACGCCUGCCCGGUGCUGGAAGGUUAAGAGGAGUGCUUAGCUUCGGCGAAGGUACGAAUUGAAGCCCCAGUAAACGGCGGCCGUAACUAUAACGGUCCUAAGGUAGCGAAAUUCCUUGUCGGGUAAGUUCCGACCCGCACGAAAGGCGCAACGAUCUGGGCACUGUCUCAACGAGAGACUCGGUGAAAUUAUAGUACCUGUGAAGAUGCAGGUUACCCGCGACAGGACGGAAAGACCCCGUGGAGCUUUACUGCAACCUGAUAUGGAAUGUUUGUACCGCUUGUACAGGAUAGGUAGGAGCCGAAGAGACGUGUGCGCUAGCAUACGAGGAGGCAAUGGUGGGAUACUACCCUGGCUGUAUGACCAUUCUAACCCGCCACGCUUAGCGCGUGGGGAGACAGUGUCAGGUGGGCAGUUUGACUGGGGCGGUCGCCUCCUAAAGAGUAACGGAGGCGCCCAAAGGUUCCCUCAGAAUGGAUGGAAAUCAUUCGCAGAGUGUAAAGGCACAAGGGAGCUUGACUGCGAGACUGACAAGUCGAGCAGGGACGAAAGUCGGGCUUAGUGAUCCGGUGGUUCCGCAUGGAAGGGCCAUCGCUCAACGGAUAAAAGCUACCCCGGGGAUAACAGGCUUAUCUCCCCCAAGAGUCCACAUCGACGGGGAGGUUUGGCACCUCGAUGUCGGCUCGUCGCAUCCUGGGGCUGUAGUCGGUCCCAAGGGUUGGGCUGUUCGCCCAUUAAAGCGGCACGCGAGCUGGGUUCAGAACGUCGUGAGACAGUUCGGUCCCUAUCCGUCGCG
rnacentral:rRNA from 1 species